rnacentral:rRNA from 1 species
CGCGUAGGUGGUAGUGAAAGUCUAUGGUGGAAUCUUAGGGCUUAACCCUAAAACUGCCUUGGAAACUUCAUUACUUGAGUCAGUGAGGGGAGGGUAGAAUUCCUGGUGUAGCGGUGAAAUGCGUAGAUAUCAGGAGGAAGGCCGGUGGCGAAGGCGGCCCUCUGGCGCUGAACUGACGCUGAGGCGCGAAAGCGUGGGUAGCAAACAGGAUUAGAUACCCUGGUAGUCCACGCCCUAAACGGUGGGUACUAGGUGUAGGGCUCGUAAGGGUUCUGUGCCGAAGGGAAACCAUUAAGUACCCCGCCUGGGGAGUACGGCCGCAAGGUUGAAA